AUUGAACGCUGGCGGCAGGCCUAACACAUGCAAGUCGAGCGGAUGAAGGGAGCUUGCUCCUGGAUUCAUCCGCGGACGGGUGGGUAAUGCCUAGGAAUCCGCCUGGUAGUGGGGGAUAACGUCCGGAAACGGGCGCUAAUACCGCAUACGUCCUGAGGGAGAAAUUGGGUGAUCUUCGGACCUCACGCUAACAGAUGAGCCUAGGUCGGAUUAGCUAGUUGGUGGCGUAAAGGCCUACCGAGGCGACGAAGCGUAACUGGUCUGAGAGGAUGACCAGCCACACUGGAAUUGAGACACGGUCAAGACUCCUGCGGGAGGCAGCAGGGGGGAACAUUGGAGAGAGGGCGAAAGCCGGAUCCUGCGACGCCGCGUGUGAGCAGAAGGUAUUCGGGUUGUAAAACAGAUUAAGUUGUGAGGGAGGUCAGUAAGUUUAUACCUUGCUGUUUUGGCGUGACCAGCAGGAAGAACCCCGGGUAAAUUCCUG
rnacentral:rRNA from 1 species